rnacentral:rRNA from 1 species
GGCAGCAGUGGGGAAUAUUGCACAAUGGGGGAAACCCUGAUGCAGCGACGCCGCGUGAAGGAUGAAGUAUUUCGGUAUGUAAACUUCUAUCAGCAGGGAAGAAAAUGACGGUACCUACUAA